rnacentral:rRNA from 1 species
UUGUGAGGUUAAGCGACUAAGCGUACACGGUGGAUGCCCUGGCAGUCAGAGGCGAUGAAGGACGUGCUAAUCUGCGAUAAGCGUCGGUGAGGUGAUAUGAACCGUUAUAACCGGCGAUUUCCGAAUGGGGAAACCCAGUGUGUUUCGACACACUAUCAUUAACUGAAUCCAUAGGUUAAUGAGGCGAACCGGGGGAACUGAAACAUCUAAGUACCCCGAGGAAAAGAAAUCAACCGAGAUUCCCCCAGUAGCGGCGAGCGAACGGGGAGGAGCCCAGAGCCUGAAUCAGUGUGUGUGUUAGUGGAAGCGUCUGGAAAGGCGUGCGAUACAGGGUGACAGCCCCGUACACAAAAAUGCACAUAUUGUGAGCUCGAUGAGUAGGGCGGGACACGUGGUAUCCUGUCUGAAUAUGGGGGGACCAUCCUCCAAGGCUAAAUACUCCUGACUGACCGAUAGUGAACCAGUACCGUGAGGGAAAGGCGAAAAGAACCCCGGCGAGGGGAGUGAAAAAGAACCUGAAACCGUGUACGUACAAGCAGUGGGAGCCUCUUAAUGGGGUGACUGCGUACCUUUUGUAUAAUGGGUCAGCGACUUAUAUUCUGUAGCAAGGUUAACCGAAUAGGGGAGCCGAAGGGAAACCGAGUCUUAACUGGGCGCUAAGUUGCAGGGUAUAGACCCGAAACCCGGUGAUCUAGCCAUGGGCAGGUUGAAGGUUGGGUAACACUAACUGGAGGACCGAACCGACUAAUGUUGAAAAAUUAGCGGAUGACUUGUGGCUGGGGGUGAAAGGCCAAUCAAACCGGGAGAUAGCUGGUUCUCCCCGAAAGCUAUUUAGGUAGCGCCUCGUGAAUUCAUCUCCGGGGGUAGAGCACUGUUUCGGCAAGGGGGUCAUCCCGACUUACCAACCCGAUGCAAACUGCGAAUACCGGAGAAUGUUAUCACGGGAGACACACGGCGGGUGCUAACGUCCGUCGUGAAGAGGGAAACAACCCAGACCGCCAGCUAAGGUCCCAAAGUCAUGGUUAAGUGGGAAACGAUGUGGGAAGGCCCAGACAGCCAGGAUGUUGGCUUAGAAGCAGCCAUCAUUUAAAGAAAGCGUAAUAGCUCACUGGUCGAGUCGGCCUGCGCGGAAGAUGUAACGGGGCUAAACCAUGCACCGAAGCUGCGGCAGCGACACUAUGUGUUGUUGGGUAGGGGAGCGUUCUGUAAGCCUGUGAAGGUGGCCUGUGAGGGUUGCUGGAGGUAUCAGAAGUGCGAAUGCUGACAUAAGUAACGAUAAAGCGGGUGAAAAGCCCGCUCGCCGGAAGACCAAGGGUUCCUGUCCAACGUUAAUCGGGGCAGGGUGAGUCGACCCCUAAGGCGAGGCCGAAAGGCGUAGUCGAUGGGAAACAGGUUAAUAUUCCUGUACUUGGUGUUACUGCGAAGGGGGGACGGAGAAGGCUAUGUUGGCCGGGCGACGGUUGUCCCGGUUUAAGCGUGUAGGCUGGUUUUCCAGGCAAAUCCGGAAAACCAAGGCUGAGGCGUGAUGACGAGGCACUACGGUGCUGAAGCGACAAAUGCCCUGCUUCCAGGAAAAGCCUCUAAGCAUCAGGUAACAUCAAAUCGUACCCCAAACCGACACAGGUGGUCAGGUAGAGAAUACCAAGGCGCUUGAGAGAACUCGGGUGAAGGAACUAGGCAAAAUGGUGCCGUAACUUCGGGAGAAGGCACGCUGAUAUGUAGGUGAAGCGACUAGCUCGUGGAGCUGAAAUCAGUCGAAGAUACCAGCUGGCUGCAACUGUUUAUUAAAAACACAGCACUGUGCAAACACGAAAGUGGACGUAUACGGUGUGACGCCUGCCCGGUGCCGGAAGGUUAAUUGAUGGGGUUAGCGGCAACGCGAAGCUCUUGAUCGAAGCCCCGGUAAACGGCGGCCGUAACUAUAACGGUCCUAAGGUAGCGAAAUUCCUUGUCGGGUAAGUUCCGACCUGCACGAAUGGCGUAAUGAUGGCCAGGCUGUCUCCACCCGAGACUCAGUGAAAUUGAACUCGCUGUGAAGAUGCAGUGUACCCGCGGCAAGACGGAAAGACCCCGUGAACCUUUACUAUAGCUUGACACUGAACAUUGAGCCUUGAUGUGUAGGAUAGGUGGGAGGCUUUGAAGUGUGG